UUAAUAAAUUUAUUUUUAAUUAUUUUGUAAUUUUCAAUGUUUAUUAAAAAUAUUUUUUUUUUUUUAUUAAUUAAGAUAAAAUUUUUUAAAAUUAUAGUGAAUUAGUAUAGAGAUAGAAAAUUGAAAUAGAUUUGAAAAUUAAAAUUGUUAAAAGAAAAUUUAAUUUAUUGUACCUUGUGUAUCAGGGUUUAUUAAAUAAUAAUUAUAUAUUUUAAUUUUCUCGAAUUUAAAAGAGCUAAAAAAUUAUAAAUUUUAUUGUGAAAUAAAUAUUUAAAAUAAUUUUUUAGUAAUGAAACGUUAUUCGUUUUUAAAUUUAUCUAGUUUUUUAAGAAAUGAAUUUAAUUCAGUUAUUUUUUUUUAUUUAAAUAAUUUAAUAUUUAAAUAAAAUUAAUAAUUAAUUUUUUAAGGGAUAAGCUUUAAAAAAAAAUAUAAGAAAUAAAAUUUUAUAUUUAAAAUUUAUAGGAGUGGAAGUAUUUAUUAUUUUAGUGUGUUAUAACAAAUUUUAUAAAAAAUAGAAUUUUUAUAUUAUUUUUAAUUAUUUAUUAAAAUUAUUAAUUUAAUAUUUAAAUUAAUGUAAUAAUGAUAAAAUUAGUAUAAUAUGAUGUUGAAAAUUUUUAAUAAAGAAAGGUUAAAUUAAGGAACUCGGCAAAUAUUUUUUUCGCCUGUUUAUUAAAAACAUGUCUUUUUGAUUAUAAUUUAAAGUCUGACCUGCCCUAUGAUAGUUGUUUAUUAAAUGGCCGCGAUAAUUUGAUCGUGCAAAGGUAGCAUAAUAAUUAGUUUCUUAAUUGGGAACUGGAAUGAAAGGUCGAACGAGAAAAAAUCUGUCUCAAUUUAAUUUUAAUUAGAAUUUUAUAUUUAAGUAAAAAAGCUUAAAUAAUUUUAAAAGACGAGAAGACCCUAUAGAGUUUUAUAUUUAUUAUUUUUUUUUUUAGUUUAAGAAUUAAAUUUUUAAAUUAAUUAAUAAAUAUUUGAUUGGGGUGAUUGAAAAAUUUAAUAAACUUUUUUUAAAAAUUUACCAUUAAUUUAUGAUUAUUUGAUCCAUAAUUUUAUGAUUAAAAGAUUAAAUUACCUUAGGGAUAACAGCGUAAUUUUUUUUAAGAGUUCUUAUCGAAAAAAAAGUUUGCGACCUCGAUGUUGGAUUAAAAUUAACUUUUGGUGUAGAAGCUAAAAUAGUUAGGUCUGUUCGACCUUUAAAAUUUUACAUGAUCUGAGUUUAAACCGGUGUAAGCCAGGUUGGUUUCUAUCUUUAAAAAUUUUAAAUAUUUUAGUACGAAAGGAUCAAGUAUUUAUAAUAAUUAUUAUUUUUUGAAUAUUAUUAAAAUAUUACUUUGGCAGAAUAGUGUUUUAAAUUUAGAAUUU
rnacentral:rRNA from 1 species